rnacentral:rRNA from 1 species
UACGGAGGGUGCAAGCGUUAUCCGGAUUCACUGGGUUUAAAGGGUGCGUAGGAGGGCAGGUAAGUCAGUGGUGAAAUCUCCAAGCUUAACUUGGAAACUGCCGUUGAUACUAUCUGUCUUGAAUACCGUGGAGGUGAGCGGAAUAUGUCAUGUAGCGGUGAAAUGCUUAGAUAUGACAUAGAACACCAAUUGCGAAGGCAGCUGGCUACACGAGCAUUGACACUCAGGCACGAAAGCGUGGGGAUCAAACAGG